GACGUAGGGCGCGAGCGUUGUCCGGAUUUAUUGGGCGUAAAGAGCUCGUAGGCGGCUUGUCGCGUCGACCGUGAAAACUUGGGGCUCAACCCCAAGCCUGCGGUCGAUACGGGCAGGCUCGAGUUCGGUAGGGGAGACUGGAAUUCCUGGUGUAGCGGUGAAAUGCGCAGAUAUCAGGAGGAACACCGGUGGCGAAGGCGGUUCUCUGGGCAUUACCUGACACUGAGGGACGAAAGCUAGGGGAGCGAAUGGG
rnacentral:rRNA from 1 species